rnacentral:rRNA from 1 species
UACAGAGGUCCCGAGCGUUGUUCGGAUUCACUGGGCGUAAAGGGUGCGUAGGUGGUGAGGUAAGUCGGAUGUGAAAUCUCCGGGCUCAACCCGGAAACUGCAUUGGAAACUACCUUGCUUGAGGGUUUGAGGGGGGACUGGAAUUCCCAGUGUAGCGGUGAAAUGCGUAGAUAUUGGGAGGAACACCAGUGGCGAAGGCGGCUCACUGGACUGGUACUGACGCUGAGGCGCGAAAGCGUGGGGAGCAAACAGG